rnacentral:rRNA from 1 species
GACGAACGCUGGCGGCGUGCUUAACACAUGCAAGUCGAACGGAAAGGCCCUGCUUUUGUGGGGUGCUCGAGUGGCGAACGGGUGAGUAACACGUGAGUAACCUGCCCUUGACUUUGGGAUAACUUCAGGAAACUGGGGCUAAUACCGGAUAGGAGCUCCUGCUGCAUGGUGGGGGUUGGAAAGUUUCGGCGGUUGGGGAUGGACUCGCGGCUUAUCAGCUUGUUGGUGGGGUAGUGGCUUACCAAGGCUUUGACGGGUAGCCGGCCUGAGAGGGUGACCGGCCACAUUGGGACUGAGGUAGGGCCCAGACUCCUACGGGGGGCAGCGGUGGGGAAUAUUGCACAGUGGGCGGAAGCCUGAUGCAGCAACGCCGCGUGCGGGAUGACGGCCUUCGGGUUGUAAACCGCUUUCGCCUGUGACGAAGCGUGAGUGACGGUAAUGGGUAAAGAAGCACCGGCUAACUACGUG